AAGAAUCGCCCCGUUUUUUGAAAUGGGUUCUAUUCCCAAACCGUGCAUACCUGCCUCUUGUUGCUUUGGCGGGCCGCCCUCGGGCGUCGGCUCCGGCUGACAGCGCCUGCCAGAGGACCCAAACUCGUUUGUUAGUGAUGUCUGAGUACUAUUUAAUAGUUA
rnacentral:misc_RNA from 1 species